rnacentral:rRNA from 1 species
UCGCUCCUGAAAUCGGGUGAGGCUAUCCGCUGAGUUUAAGCAUAUAAUUAAGCGGAAGAAAAGAAAAUAACCAUGAUUCCCUCAGUAACGG